UGAGCACUAGGUGUCGGGCUCGCAAGAGUUCGGUGCCGGAGCAAACGCAUUAAGUGCUCCGCCUGGGGAGUACGCACGCAAGUGUGAAACUCAAAGGAAUUGACGGGGACCCGCACAAGCAGCGGAGCAUGUGGUUUAAUUCGAAGCAACGCGAAGAACCUUACCAGGACUUGACAUCCCACUGAAAGCUCGGGUAAAGCUGAGCCCUUCUUCGGAACAGUGGAGACAGGUGGUGCAUGGCUGUCGUCAG
rnacentral:rRNA from 1 species